GAUGAACGCUGGCGGCGUGCCUAAUACAUGCAAGUCGAGCGAACAGACGAGGAGCUUGCUCCUCUGACGUUAGCGGCGGACGGGUGAGUAACACGUGGAUAACCUACCUAUAAGACUGGGAUAACUUCGGGAAACCGGAGCUAAUACCGGAUAAUAUAUUGAACCGCAUGGUUCAAUAGUGAAAGACGGUUUUGCUGUCACUUAUAGAUGGAUCCGCGCCGCAUUAGCUAGUUGGUAAGGUAACGGCUUACCAAGGCAACGAUGCGUAGCCGACCUGAGAGGGUGAUCGGCCACACUGGAACUGAGACACGGUCCAGACUCCUACGGGGAGCAGCAGUAGGGAAUCUUCCGCAAUGGGCGAAAGCCUGACGGAGCAACGCCGCGUGAAUGAUGAAGGUCUUCGGAUCGGAAAGCUCUGUUAUUAGGGAAGAACAAAUGUGUAAGUAACUAGGCACGUCUUGACGGUACCGAAUCAGAAAGCCACGGCUAACUACGUG
rnacentral:rRNA from 1 species